AACCACCACGAUUGGAAACGGCCACUCCGAACGCCGAAUCCAGGCCCUGAGAGCCGCCACAGCCAACACGGUCAGAAACAUCACAACCGCACGUGGCCGCAACCAGCUGCGGGGAGAAGCCGGGGGCGAGGGCCGGGAGAGGAGCACCGCGGGCAGCAGCACGAAGGACGGCGGGCACCCGGGACCCCAUCGGCGCAGCACCCCGGGGCGGCUGGAGGAGCGGAGCCGCGGCCCUACGAGCGCCGUGCUGCCGCUCAGCGACACGCGUGGGCCGAAGCCCCGCAGGCGCAGCCCGGUGCGGCCUCACUCCGCAAAUCGCCGCGCUGCCCGCGCCCCCUCCAGGCCCCGCUCCCUCAUUCCCUCAGCGCCCGGACGGCGGUUCCCACCGCCCGCUUCUCACGCCUUCCCACCGCCCCGCUCUCACCCAGGCCCGGCGGCCGCGUCCCGCAUCGACCCGGAAACAACUCGGUAGCAACCAAACAUCACGUGACUGCCCCCCCGUCACGUGAGCGGGGCCGGGACGGUCGCCAUGGAAACGGAGAUGCUGCGCCCCGCGGCCCGCUCCUCCCGCACCGCUGUGGUGACGUCAGCCGGCUCCUGUCAUUUCAGUCUUUGGAACCGCCAGCUGCAUCGGUAACUGCAGCCCUAACCGCAGCAGAGGAGCAAGUAUUGCUUAAUAAAGCCGGCUUCCCUCGCCGUGUCCCACCGUGCCUCCAGCCCUGGGGCUGCCCGUCCCUCCUGCACUGCUUUCUGGGCCAGGAAGUCGCAGCCCCGCCACGAAUCGAACCAUCAGCUCGACUGGAGCACAGCAGAUUUCCCUCUGCGGGGACAAAAGUCUCCUGGAAGAUGCACAAACUGCCCAUUGUCUGAUCCCGCUGAGACAGGGCUGAUUUUCGCAGUGUGCUAUCAGGUUCCCCGGCAGCCGAUUUAUACUGAACUCAUCAGCGCUACUUUGUGCCCAGAAGAGCCCCAGCUCUCUAUUUUCCAUCACUUAGGGCCCAUCAGGCUCUAAUGGGGUCGUUGGGACUUCGAGUGCUUUACGUGCUGCUCUGCUGGUGUUCCAGCACGUUGCAGCCUCCUCCUGCUGGCUCCUUUUGAGUCCCAGCUGAAGUAGUUAAAGCUGUUCCUGCCUCUGGGCUCUCACCGUCCACAGAAAAACCCUUUUCUGUUUUGCCUGUGCCCUUCUGUUCAGGAAAUGCCCCCUGGCUGUCCCAGCCUUGUUAGUGUUAGACGAAAACGGCACUGCCUGGCAAACUACCACAAACCUGGGGUUUGGUGUAGGAGGGGAGAUGCUUUUGAUCGGGAAUGUGCCCAAAGGGAUCAGGGGCUGGAACACAGCUGGGGUGGGCAGGAGGAUGGAGCCAGGGGUAGGAAGGGAGAAAGCACAGCGUUAAUCGAUCCAAUCUUGGGCUCCCGGUGGAAUUUGCAGAGAUAUCUUACUCGAAUUACCCCAGUUUUAUCAGGAGAUGGCCGUUCUGGGAAAGUGCCUUUUGGGCAGCAAAGUGCUUCAGAUCUCGAACUGCUUUAGCAUUGAGCAAAAGGGGACCAACAAUAGCUUCAAAGAUGAGAGCAGGAAGUGUGUGUGUGUUUGGGGGGGGGGAUGUAACCCAUCCUGGGCAUGCAAUGUGUGUCAACAGCCCCCAGGAAAUGUGCACAACGCUGCCUCUGUGGAGGGCCCCUCCAGUCUGUGAAAUCUGUAGGAUUGUAGCAGCGAGCAGAAAAUGCAGGGCCCUACAAAAGGUAUCCAAGUGUGAGCAGCUUUUACCCAUCCACUGCUACUCCACGCUGCAUUUCUGCUCUGAGUGCACACACUGAUCAGAAGGGGGAAAUAAUGACAGAGGGCAAAAGGGACAUGAAAAAGCAUCUCCCUAAAAUCCAGACCUGGAUAUCAAAUACGAUAUAGGAGGAGAAAGGUAACAGAGGAGAUAAAGAGCAAAGGCAGAGAGAAACUGGGUGGCUUCUCAUCAUUUCAUACCUGACACCCCCUGUCUGAGCAGAUGACUGCAGACCUUCGGAGCAGCAGAGGAAUCACAUCAGGCUCUGACAAGCUCCGUCUUUAUUCAGUGGCAGUGAUGGGGUGAGAAAACAUCAGCUCUCAUCAAUGAUUCAUGGAGCCUUUUCUUCUGCUAAUCUGUAAAUAAAUUUUAAAAAGCAGCUUCUGUUUGAUGAGUC
rnacentral:lncRNA from 1 species